GUAACACGUGGGUAACCUGCCUUAUAGUGGGGGAUAGCCUUUCGAAAGGAAGAUUAAUACCGCAUAAGAUUGUAGUAUCGCAUGAUAUAGCAAUUAAAGGAGCAAUUCGCUAUAAGAUGGACCCGCGUCGCAUUAGCUAGUUGGUGAGGUAAUGGCUCACCAAGGCGACGAGGCGUAGCCGACCUGAGAGGGUGAACGGCCACAUUGGGACUGAGACACGGCCCAGACUCCUACGGGAGGCAGCAUG
rnacentral:rRNA from 1 species